rnacentral:rRNA from 1 species
GUGGGGAAUCUUGCGCAAUGGGCGAAAGCCUGACGCAGCCAUGCCGCGUGAAUGAUGAAGGUCUUAGGAUUGUAAAAUUCUUUCACCGGGGACGAUAAUGACGGUACCCGGAGAAGAAGCCCCGGCUAACUUCGUGCCAGCAGCCGCGGUAAUACGAAGGGGGCUAGCGUUGCUCGGAAUUACUGGGCGUAAAGGGCGCGUAGGCGGACAGUUUAGUCAGAGGUGAAAGCCCAGGGCUCAACCUUGGAAUUGCCUUUGAUACUGGCUGUCUUGAGUACGGGAGAGGUGAGUGGAACUCCGAGUGUAGAGGUGAAAUUCGUAGAUAUUCGGCGGAACACCAGUGGCGAAGGCGACUCACUGGCCCGAUACUGACGCUGAGGCGCGAAAGCGUGGGGAGCAAACAGGAUUAGAAACCCCUGUAGUCC